GAUGAACGCUGGCGGCGUGCCUAAUACAUGCAAGUCGAGCGAACGGACGAGAAGCUUGCUUCUCUGAUGUUAGCGGUGGACGGGUGAGUAACACGUGGAUAACCUACCUAUAAGACUGGGAUAACUUCGGGAAACCGGAGCUAAUACCGGAUAAUAUUUUGAACCGCAUGGUUCAAAAGUGAAAGACGGUCUUGCUGUCACUUAUAGAUGGAUCCGCGCUGCAUUAGCUAGUUGGUAAGGUAACGGCUUACCAAGGCAACGAUGCAUAGCCGACCUGAGAGGGUGAUCGGCCACACUGGAACUGAGACACGGUCCAGACUCCUACGGGAGGCAGCAGUAGGGAAUAUUCCGCAAUGGGCGAAAGCCUGACGGAGCAACGCCGCGUGAGUGAUGAAGGUCUUCGGAUCGUAAAACUCUGUUAUUAGGGAAGAACAUAUGUGUAAGUAACUGUGCACAUCUUGACGGUACCUAAUCAGAAAGCCACGGCUAACUACGUG
rnacentral:rRNA from 1 species